GGAGGGACGGCCGUGGGGGCCGGUCCUCCGCCGCCGCCGCCGCCGCCUCCCGGGAGCCUGAGCGGGGAGGGUCCCGCACCUGCUCCCCCCGCCCGCCCCUCGGCCCGGAGGGUGACGCGCGGCAGCCGCAGCUGCCGGGCGGGAGGGGCGGCCCCGGUGACGGGAGGGAGGGCGCUGCCGCCGCUCCGCGCCUUGCUCGGGGCACGGAGGUGAUGAUUAACCUGCCGUUCACUGAAUACCUGCCCGGCUGAAGUCGCGCCCGGGGUGUGGUAUAACCUUGUCCGAGGUUUCGGUACCUCGGGUGUUGCCUUUCUGCCCGAGACCCUGGUGCUGCCAGUUCUGCUGCUACCGAGGCGCUGCGGGGAUGUGCAGCGCCCCGUUGAAAAUCUCUGCUCUUAAUCUCAGCCUAGACUUCGCUUUGCGGUCGUUUUUCGGAGGUUUGAGUCUCCAAAGGUCGAGGUGAUGUGGGGCUCUCGGUCUCGGCGAGUAUUUUUGCAGCAACAGCCUGGGGCUGCAGUAGCUGGCAGCUUGAAUCCAUGUUGGCCCCUUUUCCUCGGGCGUGAGCUGCAAGGAGCUCAUCAGCUUCGGCAUUUAGGUCAGUACUCUGCUUCUCUUACGUCAAGAAAGCUGCCAGCGUGGACCGAGCCAGUCUGCUCCCCGGGGCUGGAGGGAGUGAGUCAGGGAAUGGUUCUGGUGAUAGCACAAAAAAUACCUUCUCUCUUACUGCCUGCCUCUGCUUUCCGGCCUCUGCUUUCCUGACACGUUAACCCUGGUUGCCUUUUUAAAAAGCGUUUAGCACUGUGUGAUUUACAUCGUGAAAUGAUAUGUUAGUAUGAUGGGUCCAUUUUAACAUCCGUAAUCUAGCUUUUUGCAGUAGUUAUUCCUGUCAUUUUUACAGCAGUGUUUUGAAGAUUGAAUUAAUGUUUGAGGGUAUUUUGCUCUAUUGGAGGAAGCUGUUUGCCUGACUGGAGAAAGAUUGUAGUGAAACUUGCUAAUAAUUUUGUGAGAAGACUUUUUUAAUAUUGAUCUUGUGGUUUGGUUCAGUAGCGCCUUCCUUGUGGAGAAUGUAUUUUUUUCCUGUGUACUUUUCAUCAGGAGUGCAAAGGACUUUUGGGUAUGUUGAGUAGAAGGAACUAAUUCUCUCUACAGCCAUUGAGAUGGGUCUUUCUACAGACACACACUGUAUUUGAUAAGUAUUUAAUCUCUUUUUCCAGUGGCUCUAUUUAACUGUUGAAACUGGUCAAAUAAUGCAAUACACUGAAUAAUGCUGUUUAAUAGUUUCAUUAGGUAGUUGUAUGUAUGCAGUAAUUUUUCUCAAGGCAUUUUAGGACUCUCAGAAUAUUGUGAGUUCAGCCCUAGUAAUACUUACAGUUUAGUUUCUUAUCAUUGUAGUGUAAUUUCUAAGUUUUCCUAAGGGUGUCUAGGGUCCAUUGGUAAAUUAACUUACAUUUGGAGACAGACUUUUUAACAGGGUCUGUGGCAAUAGCACAUGGAGCAGUGCUUUUAAUCUAAAAGGGGGUGUGUUCAAACUAGAUAUAAAGAAGAAAUACUUUGCAAUGAGGGUGGUGAAACAUUGGCAUGGGUUGCCCAGAGAGGUGGUGGAUGCCCUGUCCGUGGAAACAUUCAAGGUCAUUUUGCUGAGGGCUCUGAGCAACGUGAUCUCUCAUUGAACAUGUCCCUGCUUAUUGAAGGAUAGUUGGACUAGAUGACCUGUAAAGGUCCCUUCCAACCCAAGCUAUUCUAUGAUUUCAGUUAUUUUUCUAUAUACUGUUAAGUACCACAGUAGGAUUUACUGGUAUAAUUUCUUUUUCCCUCCCUGAUAUUCAAGUUGGAUAAAGAAAAACCUUGUGCCAAAGAAAGAAUCCAGACCUGAGUUUUUCCAUAUGCUUGUUGGCAAAGGAAAGAAACUGAUGUUUUUCAUCUCACGAUACAAUAGAAAUUCAGUUGUCCCGAACAAAACAGUCCUAAAGUAAUAAUUAGUACAUUAUGCCAACCCUGCAGUCACCAGGAAUUGAUUUGAGUGUUCCAGAUGUGGACUGGUAAUGACUUUGGGAUCUCGUUAGACUGCUGUUUGCUUAAAUGUAGUUUUCUCUGGCAUGUUGUGUCAAUUUGGUUUAGAUUUAACUAACAAUUUAUGAGCACGUGGCUUAUUUCUCAUUUUAGUGAUUUCUGUCUUUACCUUUUGAAACUAAUUUUCCUUAACAUAGAGUAGAAGUGUUUAAAGAUACAAUUUUUGAAACUGUUUUGAUUCAGGCAAGUGAACGAACAAACAUACCUGAUUUAACUUUCUGAGUCAGGGUAUGAUCCUCUUGUUGCACUCUAUUCAAGCAUAAUUUGCCAACUUAGUCAUUACAUUGACAGUAAAGACUCAUAGAAGCUCCUCCCAGGCCCCCCCAAGAUGAACUCUGAAAUGAGUUUAAUGAGUUUAAUUUGUUUAAGGCUUGAUAUAUAUAUGUUGCUUUCAAAGAGCAACAUAUCUGUACAAGAAACCAUUGUCUAGAACAUACUUAGGAAUAUUGGGGAAAUAACAUUCAGAGCAUAUAUUUAGAAAAUUGUACUCGGGCUGAGAACAUAUGCUAUUAGUGUGUGUCUUCUAAAAAUAUUUUCACAUGCAAAUUACACACCCGUUGGCUGCUUGCUUCUAACCAGAUUGUUGCUGCAUGAUGGUCCCUGAGAAACUGAAUAUGGAGUAGGAGGUACCAGCUGAAAACUUUUGCUCUCAAGCUUUUGUUUCUUAGGUUUUACACUUGCUUGAUUUUCCUUCCUCUUUUUCCAAAAACUAACAUAAGAACAUUAAAAUUUAAACUUGCAAAGUGCCAUUUUGGAAAGGUAAGAGUAGUAAAGUAACUGAUUAUACGUGUAUCUCUUUUUUCCUGUUUAAUGCUUCAAUAUGUUAUUGAUGUUCUGUUGUCAAAUACGGAUCACAAGAAAGCUUAGUCACCAUCAUCUCACUUGGAUAAUUUCUGUGUAUAUAAAGUCAAGGUGACUGGGAUUGUAAACUUUCUUGUAUUUCAUAACUAUUUUUAAGCCAACAACCUACUAACGUUACUGAUUUUAAUCUGUACAUGUAGUAUCUUUUGGCUAUUGCAUCGCAGUAUUUUAACCAAAGGGAGGGACAUCUUUUUUGAGACAGAGGUUAUAAAAUCAGUAGCUAAAAUAAGAGGCCAGGUUCUUUUUUGUCGACUGCUAUGCUAUCUGUUUAAACCCUUCUCUUUUUUCUGAAUUAAAAACCUCUUAUGUUUUUAUGCCUUUUUUUCCCCUGUACUUUUGAAAAUAAGGGCUACACUUUUUCCUCACUAGCCUUGCCAGAGCAUAAGAAAUCUAUAUAUUGCUCUGAGUUAGAGUUCUUUUUUCUUCUUGGAUCUCAGAAGAGCACCUCUUAUUUUGUCAUCCUUAACAGAAGCAUAUUUUUUGCCCUGUAGCAAAGAGAGAAAGUGAACACUUUAGACCUGAUAUAGUGUUCUCAGAAAUCACUGCAAAGAUUUCCAUUUGGGACUUUCAGCUGGCCUUCAAAAUACUUUUUCUUAAUUUUCAUUCUAUUAUUUCAGUUAUUUUACCUCCCUUUCCUACAGCCCAUAGGCUUCUGACCCCAUUCCGAUAGGGAACAAUAGCCAAGACUUAACUUAGUAGCUCUUGUUUUUUCAUAAAUGAAGUAUUUUCAGGAAUAUUUCUAGUGGGAAAAAUAUCAACGAUGAAAUGUUGAUGGAAAAUACUGAAUGGGACUCAGCAUGAGGUAAUAUAACAACAGUCAAAAUUCAUGUGGAAAUUUGGAGUUGCAUUGGUUAAAAGGUAUACAAAGUAAAAAGGAUUAGAGCAAGACAAGUGUUUUGAAAAUAAGUGAACAAAUAGAGAGCAUUUGCCCAGAUAUCACAUGUUGGUUUCUGGUUUCCUAUGUUAAUUGGUGUUGCUCUUUUAAGGCUCUUUCACUCUCCUUUUUGUUUGGCCUUUAUACUGGUUUUCCCUUCCCCUGCAUGAAAGUCUGAUAUUUCUUUGGUGUUUUUUAGUUUUAACUGGCUUACAUCAGAAUUCAAAGACGUGUUAUCAAUAAGGUUAUUUAUUUGUUUCGAGAAUCUUGGUUUUCAGCGAUAGCAGCUGAAGGCAGUGUUUUACAGGGCUUAGCACAUUUUACACCAUCCCAAUUUUCCUAUCUCUAUUUUGUGUGUAUUUAUAAAAGGGAAAUUAAUGCCAAAUUAUAGCUAUGCAAAUAAACAAUAUUUGGUAUAACACAUGACGCUUUAAAAUGAAUCUUAAUUGUUUCAUUCUGUUUUCAAAGUAACUUUGAAGGCUAUUUUGUUUUCUUGAAAAUAGGUGGUAAUCAAACAUAGCAAUUAGAGUUGAACCCUUGUGACUCUUGGAAAAAAAAAAUUCUAAAUAUCUUGCCUGCAAAACCUGGUUUGCAGAACAAAGAAGAUUAAAUGAGACACUCGCUGUCCAAGAAAUUAGACAAUUCUCGUUACACUCCAUAACGUGCUUCAAGACAUUUUUUGUGUAUUACAGUACAAAAGGAAGGGGUCUCUUCAAGCAAACUGAUUCUAAGUUGGCAAGGUGUCCAUCCGCCCUGAGAAAGAAGGAGCAACGAUACAUUUUGUGAAGUUUUAAAAUGACAGAUUAUCCAUUCUUACCUACUUGAGCUUAUAGUGUUACCUACCAAUUAGAGACUUUCCCCUCUGGUACUUACAGCACUUGAGCUAAAUUUUAUCUCUAUUGUCUUGUGGUUCUUUUCUUAUUUAGUCUUGCAUGUUUUUGCUUUCCACGGUCCCAUUUGGGGAAACAUCUGUCCUGUGUAAAGAUGCCAAUACUGUUACAGCCACUAACACUAUGCGUGACCAGAGCUCAAGUUUCUGGCAGCUCUUUCUAAUAAGUGCUGUGUAAAGGCAAAGAAAUGCUAAUGCCUAUUCUGAAGAGUUAAAAAAUACCUGUCCUAUCUCCUCCUUCUUGAAUUGCCGAUAUAUUGCAUACUUACCUGAUUUUUCACAGAAUUACAUGAGUGUAAAUAGUUUGUCAGACUUGGUGGGACUAAUUCUGUUUGAACUUAAAGCCCUUGCAAAAUCUUUCCUGUUUCUGAAUUAUCCUUUUAUGGGGUUUUUUAAUGUCUAAAAAUGUAGUAUCAGGCUUGGUGUUAAUAUAUUUGUGAAUGUAUUUGUUAAUGUAUUUGUGAAACAGCUAGUAAAUCCAAUGAUAUGAAUAAAUUUCUUAAAUAGGGAUACUGAAAGAAAAUAAUUUAUAUUUAUGAAGUAGAACAUAGAUGGUUUUAUAUUUUUAUAUUAUAUAUUAUUUUUGUAUGAUAGGUUUUGUUUUGUGGUGCUGAAACACCACAUCAUGACUGAGUUUUGUUACCCUAAUUGCUGUAAGAAUACAUGUGGUUCUUCACCCUCAGAAAGCAAGUAUUUUGGGCCUGGAGACCACUAUGCUUCUCUAAAUAAAUGAUUUUUUUAAAUCCUCAAACUAUUUUUAGAGCCUUUUGCUGUAGUUCUUGGAUACUGUGUUGGUGAGGGAUGUGGGCAGUGAAUAGGGGGGAUGAUGGCGGUAACAAAAAAAACUAUUACAUUUUUCCCUAGAGCCUAACAUAUCAGUAGUUCAACCUCUGGCUGAAACCAGAUAUUACUAACUUCUUGUUUUUGAUGCAAAUUUACCACCCCUCUCGUUCUCAGGUGUUGCAAGUUAUUGACCUAUUAAAUGCAUCUAAUUGUCCUUUUCCCUGUCAAUCUCAACCUUCCUUUAUACUUUAAAAUUAGGCAUAAUAUAUUUCAAAGCUGUCAUAAUGUUCAGUAAUUGUUCUACAUAAAGCAUCAUUUCUGCCUCUGCCUUUAAAACAAAAGGGAAUGGCUGUAAUUGUCCAUUUUGGUCUGAUAGUGCUUUUUCCUUAUGUCAGAAAUGUUAUUAACUAGCCGCACUGGCAAUUUUCAUAUAACCUCUGUUGUGCUAAUGCAGAACUUUUAGGCUGAUGUUGUUUUCUGUAAACAAUACAAUAUAAUUGACACUAACAAUGCUUUCUUUCUCUCUCUCUUUUUUUUUUUGCUUGUUUUCUAAUGAAAGUCGUCAGGAAAGUAGUUUCACACUUUGGCCAAAACUCAAAACCAAUCAUCUGCUUUUUAUAUGGCAGCAGCACCUAGCAAGGUGUGGGCACAUCUGUUUUGGUAGGAUGUCAUAAGAGCAUCUCCUUGCAAUUUGUUUACUCUUCCCUCAGACAAGGUGCCAGUGCAGUGACUUAUUACUUGGUAGUCAGGUAUUGAACCUCCUGCCUCAACUAGAAUGCCGAAUACUGUACUCCUAUAAAAAGUUGCAAACGUGGAAAUGCAGUUAGUUUUGCCAAAAACAACUAUUCUCUAGGAAAAUUUUACUGUCUAAAAUACAAAAGCAAUAUAGUUUGGUGUUAAAAGAGAACUUAAAUAUUUAGUAGGAUGGAUUAUUCAGAUUUGUAAAUCAGACAAAAUAUUAAAGGUUCUUGACACAAGAAUAAAAUAAAGAUACCUAAGGUAGAAAUUUGCUGUUGAAGAUGCCCUGUCAGUUUGGGGAUCCAUCUGAUCUCACAUUUAUGGGUUUAGAAUUGCUUGCUUGAUUCCUGUCUCUUGCUGCUUCCUACAUGCAUCUUUCAACCAUGUCCCUUUCUUUCAUGGUCCUGUGGUUGAUGUGGGUGCACCAUCACCUGACCUAAUUUCUGCCACUUACACGCUGGUGGGAAAGUUUGUUGAGAGGUCUAAAUUUAACUCCUAGUGUAUAGUUAAGAGAAAAUUGUUGAAUGCUUGGAGAAGGCAUGUAAAUAAUGUCUGGAGCUGCAGAAUUGAAAAGGUUUUCAGUAUAUUUAGAAAAUCUCAGAGCCUAGUAUCUUAAAAUGCCUUUCUGAUUGGCCUAAGACCAGUCUUAUCAAAGCUGCUAAAGUAACUUUCUUUUUUUCUGUAUAACCUCACGCUGUUUAUUUCUUGUUGCUGUUGUUACCACUUUAAUAAUAUUUAUAUGGUUUACAAUAAAGUGUCCACAGUAUUAAUAUUUGCAGUCACUUACAAUAACAGGUAAUAAAUGUUUAAAUAAAAUAGUGUUUUAGAAAAUAAGCGGGUUUUUUUCUCUGUUUAAAUUGUGGGGCAGAGUUCAUAUAUGCCACACAGCAUAGAUAAAAUAUUACUGUAUUUCUUGCUUCAGCACAGAGGACAUUACUGAGCUAAUAUAAGGCAAAUUUGUUUUGUAAUUCAGCUUGUGUGAUUGGCUAAUCGUGGUUUUAUAAAACUUUUCAACUUUUUUUUUUAACCUGUGGAUUGUUUGUGAUUUCUUUUUUAAUUUGUAAUGCUGUACCAUAUUAAAUCACUUCUUCAUGCAUGAAACAAAGGUAUAAACUUAAACAGAGAUGCAAAAUGGAGGUCCUUAUCAGAGCAAAACUGGAGGAACAAAAUAAAGUGGCAGGACUAAAGUAGAGGUUCCCAAACUUAGUCUGCUGAAGUUUGGUCACUGCCGUUGAUCACUACAGGACUGCUGGUGCCAGCAAUGCUGAUUUCUCUAGUUUUAUAGGUAUCUCUCAGAGCAGGACCUCUAUGCUACAUUCAUCAACCUGUGAAACACACCUGAAACCAGGACCUGGCUCUGUGCUUCUGCCUCACUUAGUGGUUUAUUCCACCUACUUCACUCCAUCCUUUUCUCAUCUGUCUUUUGACACCCCUGUACAUCUAUCUUUUGAUCUACCCCUGUAUUGCAGGGCCCCCUUUGAAAAUUGCUCUCACAACAGUACCUGCUUAAAAGACAUUUAAAAUGAAAUGGAAACAUGGUGCUGGUGUCAUGGGUGUAGCUAGGAAGUACUACAAUGUUCCAUGCUUAGGCAAGUAACUGCUCCCACAAACCCUUCUGCAGAUAAGUAUUGCUAUCAAAGGCAGUUGAGUGCAUUUGAUUAAGGAUAACAUGCGAUUAGUGAUCUGCAAGGUGAGGAGUGCAACUUGGAUCAUUAAUGAAUAUUCACAUAUUAAUGCUGCUUUGAGCAAGAGGUUGAACUAGAUGACCUCUGGGGUCUGUUCCAACUGGAUUGAUUUUUGAUUAUCAUACUUGUAUUAUGCAAAUAGGUAUUUCAUUUGUAAAAAAAAAAUUAACUGAAUAAGCUAAACUCUAGCAAAUCGUUGCCAUUAUUUUACUUAUUGCAUCAUGUUGUAGCAUGGAGUUGCAAAUUUCACCCAAGUUUAAGAUUUAAAACAGUAAGAAAAUACACCCAUGCCUUUUUGUGUAUUGCUUCAAAUUCCUUGUAUACAGUUUUAUGUCAGUUUGAAUUUCUUGUACAGCUAUUCCUUCCUAGCAUACAGUUGACUUGGUUCCAGUACUGGAACUAGUCCAGAGUAGAGUGUUGGAAAUGAUGCUUUAUGUGCAGUUGAACUAUAUGAAUGGGCUUAAGCUUAUUUUGCCUAAUUCGGGUACCACUUCUGUCAAGACUGUCGUAACAAAGCCAUCAGUGCAGGUUAGCAGCCUAAGAAAGGCUUGAGGCCUUUCCAAACUUUCCAAAGCAAGGACUCUGAAUGUGAAAGGGCAUUCCUAUAUUGAAAAAAAAAAAAAUUCCAAAUCCACCACCACCCCAAAAAAUACCCAACAAAACCCACUACUGUUAGAAUAUACUAUGUAGAUUCUGAGUAUACACAGAUGUUGAGAUACAACUGGUUGAGUUUAAUAAAUAAUAAAUGUUAAUUGAAUAUUAAGAUGGACAGUAUUUUUAUCUAAGAGGUUGUAUUUUGAUUAAUAAUAGUAUGAUCCUUCUUAUGUGCAGGGAAUUCAUAUGAAUUUCCUUCCUCUUUUUGGAUAGCUUUUGUUUCCAAUUGAUACCUCUUUAACUGUUCUCAUUUAGUGUUGUUAGUUAUUUACUUUUAAGUGAGAAGUUAGUGAUAAGAGAGGAAAUCUCAAAAUUACUGCCUGUAUGUAAGCAAGUAAAGGACCAAUCACAUUCACAUGCACGUGAUCAGAAAUGUUUUUAUGUAACAUUUUAACCCUUCCAAAUAUGUAAAUGAAUCUCAGUAACAGGAUGUAGUUGUCAUGUCUUAUUGAUAGCAGUGUGGAUAGAGUUGUCAUGUCUUAUUGAUAGCAGUGUAUUUCAGGGAAACGUUUGGUUGUAUGCUUUUAUUUAAACUUACGAGGAGGAUGGUAACAUUGCAAGUAUUAUUUGAAGGACAUGACAUGUCUCUUGGACUUUCACGGAGUAUAAAAAACAACUAAAUGGAGUCAGAGGUGCUAGGAAGGAGUUAUUUCUUUAUGCUACUUUUCACCACAGAAAUGUCAUAUACAUUUUAUUAUUUUCAAAAAAUAUUGAUGGGAAGUUAUCUGAUUAUGGGAUUAGAGAAUCAAAAGACUGAAUGCUAGAAUAAAGUGCUAAAGACUUCUAAGUCAUAAGGACUUGAUGUUGUUCAUUCAUUUACUCAUUCUAAAGGAUGAAGUGGCUGAUCUGCUAAGCAGAAUGCAUCUCAUUAGGAUGAGAUGCUGUGCCAGAGGACUGGAAGCUAUCAAGUGUUGUACAAACUGUACUUUUAAACUGAGCACAAGGACCAGAGCUGGAAUUUGCAGACCAAGGACUCUUAUUUUAAUGCCACUUAAGUAGAUUUGAAUUCUGCAUGGGUAGUCAAGUAGUUCUGUGAGCACAAGAUCCAACAGCCACUAGCUUCCUAUGUAGUUGUAUCUUAGAGGGAAUGAAAAAUACCAGCUGCAGCUGGGGUAGUUGUAAGGUGUGUCUCUUACCUAUGUGCUUGUUCCCUAAGAGCAUGGGCAUAUGCUCCAGUCUGUACUUCAGUUUGGUCAGUGUCUGCGUUGGUCUUCUCUGUCCACCUGCCCAGUACUUGGAAUUCUGAAUUCUUAAUAAAAUGUAAAUGACUUUUCAACUUUUGUCUUUGACAAACUUUGAAAUCAGAUGGUGGAUUCAAAAGUUAGAAAAGGUCCAACCUAACCUAAGCAGACAUGUUAAACAGCAGAAAUCUCUUCUGUGAUUAGCAAUCUAAACAAUGAUCCAAGUUGCUUCUGUUGUUAGUGGAAAAGGCAGAGAUGCACCCAUGUAUUCAUACACUUACAUACUGUGUGUAGUUCACCCCACCUUAAACUGGCAAGUCUAUGGCCUAUGGCAGGAAACUGUGACCCACGCAGUUCUGGUGUGGCCCUACAAGAACUCAUUUUUGGUGCCAUUGUGGGGAUGAUGAACUGUGAUGCAGAGACAGAAAGUGAUUUACACUUAGGUGACAACAGUACUUUCUUAAGUGCUGGCAUUUGUAACUGCAAUUAACUAUGUGGUCUUGUUUGCUCACUUUCCCUGCAGCUGUAUUAGCACAGUCAUUUGUGCUGUCAUGCAGUGACUUGAGUCAGAAUAUUGAUCCUGAGGAGUCUAUGGCAAGCAGCAAUUUUUAACCCAAGUCAGUUCCUCAGUACAGUGUAGUAGGUGGCUCCAUCAGAAGAUACAUCUGCACAAACGUGGUCAUGGCACAAGGACGAGAAUAAGCCCCAUGAGGGUCGUCUCUGUUUGAACUGGUAUUUUACCAGAAUAGAUGCUCAUCAAAUCUGUCUUAGAUGUGGUUCAUCUUGUCCUCAAAUAAGCAUCCAAAGUAAAAUGCUGCAUACAUUCUGUAAAACGGGAGAAAGUUGUGAGGAACUUGAGGGCAGCCUUCUGAAGCUGGCUGUAUUAGCAUAACAGUGGUAGAUGUGAUUCAGUAUUUGUAAUUAUAAAAUAAUUCAAACUGGAAGGAAUAACUUGAACUGCUUGUAAGAUAAUUUUAUAUUGCAAGUAAACGUUCUGCAAAAAUACAUGUAUCAUUUUAGCUACCCUUAUGAGAACUUCUUUGCAGAGAAGAAGUAUAUAAUGUAUAAGAAGACAGCCCUAAAAUUUAUUAAAAUGGUGCUCUGCAGUAGCAUUAAAUGGAAGUUCUUUAUCUAGGCAUUUCUCCUCAAAUGAAUUGUCCAUCUGGUUUCCUUAAUUCCUUUAUACUUCAUCGAUCACUGCAUAUGCAUACCCUUCCUGUGGUUUUAAAUGCUAUUGAUAAGCAACAAGUUCUUGAAAACUGACUAAAGUAUUUUCAGUAAGUUUACACAAAAUAAAGGUGCUGUAUUUCUUGCUUUCAGUUCAAUUCCUUCAAAUUAUCUGUAAAUUUUCAAUAAUGGCAAUACAUUCAUUCUGCCAUUUGGAGGAGCCUGUGCCACAGAUCUGAAGAAAGCUCACUUAUUUGCAAGGAAGAGUCUUCAUUUGGGAAUUAGCACCGAUGCAGCUAAGAGGUGCUUUCUCAAGUUCAGAGUUGUUAUUGUUUCACCUCUGGGUUUUCUUCAUAGAUCAGUAUUCUUGUACCUGAAGAGUAAGAAGGUCUUUGACAUUCAGUGGGAUGAGAAUCUCAGAACAGACUACUGGGGACUCCCGAGCUACAGUUCAGUGCAGCUUGCUGUGGACUAGUUUCCUACUAUAUCAUUUUAGUGCUGGAGACACCAGUCGUAUAUGUUCCCACCCUCCAACCUUGUUUAUCUGUCUAUGCUUCACACAAUAAAGGAAACCAUUUUGGUAGGUGUGGGUUGCUUGUCAGAAAUCCAUUCCGAAGCUAGAGUGUGAAGCAAGCGGGGUACUAAUGAUGAAUAUGAAUGGGUAUCUUAAGGAUAACAAUGGAUAUGGCAUCUUCAAAAGCAGUGGCAUUCUGGAAUUUCUCAUGUGUAUUAUUGUCCACAUUUGAACCCUAUCCAGCUUUCUAGUACCCUUUUGGAGAAGGGGUGACCUCUACCUCAUAUGGGAUUUUCUUUUUCUGGCCCUAAUCCUGCCACUGGAUUUGUUCAAAUGGACCUUGAUAGCCAUGGGGCCUGACUGAGUUGAUGGGACUCCUGGAUGACUGCGAGUUCCUACUCUGAAGAUCUGAUUGUAGGCCUGAACCUAAAUUUUUAUUUCCUUCUCCUGUCUAUUUGCUUCUAAUUGAUGAAAAUUAUCCAAAAACCAGUAUUGUCUUUGAGUCUUAUGCACAUCACCUUAGUAGCACUCAGACUCUGUGUGCUUGGGAUGUUGUCAGACAUUGUUAAAAUAUUUAUGUUCUGCCAUGUGCCAAUAUCUCAUGAUUUCUCUCAUUAUUGUGUUAUAUUUUUACAUUUAGUGUCUUCCUAUCUAAAAUAGAGAUGAUCACCUGUGUUUUUAAUCAUUGUGAUAUUUCUUUUAACUCAGAUUUUUAAGUCACAGUAACUGUUGAAACUAUUCUGAACUUUUAGAUUUGUUUUUUCCUUGGUGGACACAGAGUAUAUCUAUUUUAUUUUAUUUUGCAAACUUAGUAGCCUAUUAUUACUGCAAGCUUUCAAUAUCAUGGUACUCUAAUGCAGAUCAAUAAAAUAAGUAGGAAAAGGCAUUAACUUUUACUAGAUCUCCUGUUGCUUUUCUGUUUCUGUGGCUGUGAUUACAUGACAUACAGCUGAGAGUAAGGAUAUUUUUAUUUUUUUGUGAGCCAGUGAAUAUCUUUUGAUUACACUGAGUGCUGUUCCCUGUCUAUUCCAUAUGACUGUCUUGCAGUUUCACUGAGUACUAAAGUUAUAGCCCUGACAGAAGCUGAAAAGGACUUUGCAAAAUCACAUUAAAAGAGUUUGAGAGGUAAAACAGAUCUAUUUCAUCUCUAUGCAUGUUAGUAUUUAUUUUUUAUAUUUUUUUAAAAGCAAAUCCAUAGCAAUAUAUGAUAAUUAACAUAUUAAAAGAUCAAAACUUUCUCUGUAUAUAGAGAAUGAGAAAAACCUUUUUUUGUUUUGUUGGUUUAUUGCAGUGCUUCUGUAAGCACUGUAAGCUAAGAUCUUCACAGUAUUUGAUGAAUUUUUGCAUAUUCCCAGAACAACAGAAAAGCACCGCUGUCCUGUUUGACCAAGGAGAAAACUGAGCCACUCGUUCAGUCAGUAGUAAAGUCAAUGAAAUUAAUUGGAUUCUCCUGCCUUUUAACCUUUUGCCUCCAGCUCCAUUUCUCCCUCAAGAGCCAAAUCUUCCAUUAUCAUCAUCUGUUUUGCAUUUCUGUGUGAAAGGCCCAAGGUGUUUCGGUUUGGACUCCCAGAAAAUGAGGAAGACAAGGUUGGUGGCCAUCUGCCAAGGUGCUUGGUCUGACUUGCUCCUUGCUCACAGAAGCCGAUGGGAAAGGCAGAACUGAGUGUUCCUGUGUGGCAUUCAACUGCCUUAACCACAUGCCCAUCGCUUUCUUCCUGUAGUUGUCUGUCUUGUUCUCUGCAUAACUCCUAGAGCAAACACAUAUACCAACCUAUAAAUAAUCUAAUUUGAUACACAACCCUGAUUCAUUUCCUGAGCUGCAUGUCCUGCACACACAGGGUGGCCACAGUCCCGUGGAAAAAUUCAGCAGAGCACAUGAGGCCGAAUACUAAGGCUUUUAAGUAUUUAAACUUUGCAAUGAAAUGGUGUUCCUUUAAUGUAGCUUAUUAUAGAUAUAGCUUGAAGUAUUUUUAACAAGGAACAAGAGAAAAAUGAAGGCUUUUAGAACUGGUUGUAACAGUUUCCCUGUCUGGCAUGUGGACGUGAAUAUCCAGCUCAGUGAAAUACAGAACAUCAGCCGGUGGGAGGAGGCUGGCCACCUCCAGGGAGGAAGGGAAGGAAGAAGGCUGGGUAGUAAAUGCUAUGGAUAUACUGAGUUUGCUUUUGAGUCUCAGGGAAUAUUUGUGUGGCACUGACCCUAGCUUUUUAGCUUUUGUUUUCUCUUCAGCAUUCCCAGCUAAAGAAACUAGCUCCUUCAGAAUUGCUCAGUGCUGUAGACAUUGGGGGUGUUCCUGCAGUCUGCUAAUAAUCAAAAUGAAGAAACGGAAAUCAAAGGUGGGCUUUUCUCCUGUGUUCUUCUGUUGGAAAAUAAGAGGAGAUACUCCCAGUCUCACAGUUCUCUCCCCAGUGAAUUUCAGGGGCGACCCAUGUGAUCCUUGAUUUCACAAAUAGAUACUGCUCUCGACUUGCCCCUUUAGUCUUCUUCCCAGUCAAAACGUAGUGGCCCGCUGUGUUUCUAAGCUACCAAGGUGUGUAGGCUCCAGUGCCAGAGCAGUCUUGUUGGGAAUCACAAGUUCAUCUCUCUGUCUUUUAUGUUAGACUUCAUUAGGAUGAUAGGUUUUUUUCAGAGAAAUCUUGCCAGACCAUGGGCUAGGUUCCAGUUUUUGUUAAUGUCUACUUUAUCUGUGGAUGGCACUUGAGAUUUGGUCACCAAGCUAGUGAUUUGCUAUGAGGAAAACAGAACAAUCUCAUACUUGGAUUUUGCAUGCUUUUCUCUAGGAUAUGCAGUCUUUCCGCUCAGCAAAUUUGGAUGUCCUCUAAAGAGCUCAGGUGGGGAUCCUGUUGGGGAAAGUUUGUUCAGCCCAUUCACUGCAAUUCGUGAAAAUCAAAAUGCUUGCAAAAGUGUAUCAGUUCCACUAUCAUUUUGUUGCAAAGAAAAAAUUAAACCCCUGCUUUUAA